AGCCAACCUCUAGCCCAACCAAACCUCCACAAAGUCCCCACCCCAUACAACUAAAACAUUCCACACACUUAGUAUAGGCGAUAGAAAAGAACCCUCAACCAAGCAGGCGCAAUAGAGACAGUACCGCAAGGGAAAGAUGAAAUAAUAAUGAAAACCCAAGCGCAAAAUAGCAAAGAUCAACCCUUGUACCUUUUGCAUCAUGAUUCAGCAAGAACAACCAAGCAAAACGAACUUAAGCUUGCCACCCCGAAACCCAAGCGAGCUACUUACAAGCAGCUAUACUGAGCGAACCCGUCUCUGUCGCAAAAGAGUGGGAUGACUUGUUAGUAGAGGUGAAAAGCCUAUCGAGCUGGGUGAUAGCUGGUUGCCUGUGAAAUGAAUUUAAGUUCUGCCCUGACAGCUCCUACACUACCCCCCCCCCCCCGACUAAACCAUGCAGUCACUCAGAAGUAAUUUAAAGGGGGUACAGCCCCUUUAAAAAAGAAUCCAACCUCCCCCAGCGGAUAAGCCCCUCCCCCAACCCCAACUGUUGGCCUUCAAGCAGCCACCAACAAAGAGUGCGUCAAAGCUCAUACCACGAAAAUAUUACAACUAUGCGAAUCCCUACAAUCGUAACGGGCCAACCUAUUACACAUAGGAGAAUCUAUGCUGAAAUAAGUAACUAAGGGCUUCCCCCUCUUAAGCGCAAACUUACAUCUCCACAUUAUUACCCAGAACAAGAUACCCCCACCCCCACAAGACAUUAUAUCCCCACACCCUGUUAAACCAACCCAGGAGCGCCCAAUAUGAAAGAUCCAAAUCUGUAGAAGGAACUAGGCAACCCCCCAAGGACCCGACUGUUUACCAAAAACAUAGCCUUCAGCCCACCAAGUAUUGAAGGUGAUGCCUGCCCAGUGACACCAAGUUCAACGGCCGCGGUAUCCUAACCGUGCGAAGGUAGCGCAAUCAAUUGUCUCAUAAAUCGAGACUUGAAUGAACGGCUAAACGAGGCCCUAACUGUCUCCUACAGACAAUCAGUGAAAUUGAUCCCCUCGUGCAAAAGCGAGGAUAAAAACAUAAGACGAGAAGACCCUGUGGAACUUCAAAAUCACGACCACACCCCUCAACCCAUAAACCUAUCAGGCCCACUACCCCCACCCCUGUACUGGCCCGUAUUUUUUGGCUGGGGCGGCCCUGGAGAAAAGCAAAUCCUCCAGAAACAAGACCUAGCCUCUUAACUAAGAGCAACCCCUCAACGUGCUAACAGCCACCAGACCCAGUUCAACUGAACAAUGGACCAAGCUACCCCAGGGAUAACAGCGCAAUCCCCUCCGAGAGCCCAUAUCGACAAGGGGGUUUACGACCUCGAUGUUGGAUCAGGACACCCUAAUGGUGCAGCCGCUAUUAAGGGUUCGUUUGUUCAACGAUUAACAGUCCUACGUGAUCUGAGUUCAGACCGGAGUAAUCCAGGUCGGUUUCUAUCUAUGACAGACUUCCCCCAGUACGAAAGGACCGGGGAGAUAGGGCCCAUGCCACAAGCACGCCCUCCUCUCAAGUAAGGAAUACAACUAAAUUACCUAAAGAGCUUCCAACCCCCAUCCUAAAAAAGGAACG
rnacentral:rRNA from 1 species